rnacentral:rRNA from 1 species
GAGUAACACGUGGGUAACCUGCCUGUAAGACUGGGAUAACUCCGGGAAACCGGGGCUAAUACCGGAUAACACCUACCCCCGCAUGGGGGAAGGUUGAAAGGUGGCUUCGGCUAUCACUUACAGAUGGACCCGCGGCGCAUUAGCUAGUUGGUGAGGUAAUGGCUCACCAAGGCGACGAUGCGUAGCCGACCUGAGAGGGUGAUCGGCCACACUGGGACUGAGACACGGCCCAGACUCCUACGGGAGGCAGCAGUAGGGAAUCUUCCGCAAUGGACGAAAGUCUGACGGAGCAACGCCGCGUGAGUGAAGAAGGUUUUCGGAUCGUAAAACUCUGUUGUUAGGGAAGAACAAGUGCCGUUCGAAUAGGGCGGCGCCUUGACGGUACCUAACCAGAAAGCCACGGCUAACUACGUGCCAGCAGCCGCGGUAAUACGUAGGUGGCAAGCGUUGUCCGGAAUUAUUGGGCGUAAAGCGCGCGCAGGUGGUUUCUUAAGUCUGAUGUGAAAGCCCACGGCUCAACCGUGGAGGGUCAUUGGAAACUGGGGAACUUGAGUGCAGAAGAGGAAAGUGGAAUUCCAAGUGUAGCGGUGAAAUGCGUAGAUAUUUGGAGGAACACCAGUGGCGAAGGCGACUUUCUGGUCUGUAACUGACACUGAGGCGCGAAAGCGUGGGGGAGCAAACAGGAUUAGAUACCCUGGUAGUCCACGCCGUAAAACGAUGAGUGCUAAGUGUUAGAGGGUUUCCGCCCUUUAGUGCUGCAGCUAAC